UUCUUAUCCUGAUAAUUUGGUGAUUAGCAUUGGAGCUACUAACAAGUAACAAGCCACAGAAGUUGGAUGAUGCAGUGCUUAGGAGAUUGGUUCUGGAUGAUGCUUUUAUCGACAAGUGAUGGCUUUGACUGAUCGUCCUCAGGCGUUUGUAUAGGUUUUGGAUGAUGCUUUUCUCUAUCAAUAUUGAUGGCUUUGACUAAUCCUCCUCCAGCGUUCUCAUGGGUUUUGGAUGAUGAUUUUAUUAAUCAGUGAUGGCUUUGACUACUCUUCUUCAGGCGUUCUCAUGGGUUCCAAUUGGAAUGGAGUAUACUACUCACAACUAUAAGCUUGUGGACCAGGUUUUGGAUGAUGUUUUAUAUCAAUCAGUGACGGCUUUGAUGGAAACGCUCCUUCUCUAUGCAACGACUUCACUCUUCAGGGGUGUUUUGGAAGCAAAUUAUUGAUCUGAUCAUUACCUUCUUCUACAUGCUGCUACGUCUUCAGGCAUUCUCACGGAUUUGUGGAGGAGGAUUCUACGAUUGUUCGGUGAUGGCUUUGACGGAUCCUUGUCACUCUCAUUCAUGUUAUUCUUCUAGGGUU